rnacentral:snRNA from 1 species
AAAUCCGCUAAGGAGUGU